ensembl:snRNA U6 U6 spliceosomal RNA
AUGCUUACUUUGGCAACACAUAUACUAAAAUUGGAAUGAUAUGGAGAUUAGCAUUGUCCCUGGUCAAGGAUGACACACAAAUUCAUGGAGAUAUAUAUAUAUAU